GCAGUCGUGGCCGAGUGGUUAAGGCGACGGACUAGAAAUCCAUUGGGGUCUCCCCGCGCAAAUUGGAAUCCUGUCAACUGCG
rnacentral:tRNA from 1 species